GAUGAAGAACGUAGCGAAAUGCGAUAAGUAGUGUGAAUUGCAGAAUUCAGUGAAUCAUCGAAUCUUUGAACGCACAUUGCGCCCCUUGGUAUUCCAUGGGGCAUGCCUGUUCGAGCGUCAUUUGUACCUUCAAGCUUUGCUUGGUGUUGGGUGUUUGUCUCGCCUUUGCGUGUAGACUCGCCUUAAAAUAAUUGGCAGCCGGCGUAUUGAUUUCGGAGCGCAGUACAUCUUGCGCUUUGCACUCAUAACGACAGCGUCCAAAAGUACAUUUUACACUCUUGACCUCGGAUCAGGUAGGGAUACCCGCUGAACUUAAGCAUAUCAAUAAGCGGAGGA
rnacentral:misc_RNA from 1 species